rnacentral:rRNA from 1 species
UACUGAGGGUGCGAGCGUUGUUCGGAAUUACUGGGCGUAAAGCGCGCGCAGGCGGCCCUUUAAGUCCGUCGGUCAAAUGCCGGGGCUCAACCCCGAUGCAUGCCGAGGAUACUGGAGGGCUGGAGACACGUAGAGGCAAGCGGAAUUCCGGGUGUAGCGGUGGAAUGCGUAGAGAUCCGGAAGAACACCGGAGGCGAAGGCGGCUUGCUGGGCGUGAUCUGACGCUGAGGCGCGAAAGCGUGGGGAGCGAACAGG